rnacentral:lncRNA from 12 species
AUGGCCUGUGUCCAAAUGAAGAUCCACUGGGGCAAGAAGAAAGCCAGGCUGGAAGGAAGAGAAGCAGGCUUCGAGCUCCAACAAUUCCUGCCCAGUGAGGCUCAGGGGCACCAGAGACAAGAGCCCAAAGGCCAUUCUUCGAAGCUGAGCAAGAUUGCAGGGUUUCUGAGAGUACUGCGCAGAAAUAAAGGAGACAAAAAUGUCACUGAUCCACCAGAAACUUCCAAAGGUUUCUCCGAGUUGGUCCAGGAUGGGCAGUUCCUGGAGGCCUACCUGAGCAUCCCGACAUUGGUAAAGCAAGGGCAAGACUGCAAAUCCCUGUACCAGGUUGUGGCCCAGAGCAUGUGGCAGGUGCUCCAGCAGGCUCUGGAGGGCACUGAGUACUGCCCGGAGCUGGAGCUAAAGAUCCAGGCUGUGCUGGGCACCAUAGAGUGGACACAGGAGAAGCACCAGAGCUGGGAGGAUGGUGACCUCCAGGAUGGUGACUUCCAGGAUGGUGACCUCCAGGAUGGCGGAGUUGCCGCCUGGGGCAAUCAGCUGGAGAAGCUGCUGAGAAGUGAUGUGGAGGCCAGAGUGCCUGCCCUGGGCCCUGGCGACCAGGUGGACCUGUACCUGGAGAAGCUAGAAGAGGCUGUGACACAGGGCCUGAGGUCCCCGCGGGCCAGCCUGUUGGGGCCCCAGCUCUGGAAGGUCUACAGGACACACUUCCAGGAGGUCCUCCUCAACCGCCUCUGGGAGCUCAUGCACUCCUUUGGCACCAACAGGGAAAGCUGUCACAUGCUGUACUCCUGGGCCAAGAUAACGUUGUUUGGGGAGCCAGGGAAGACACUUGUGAGUGCACCUCCCACCUCCCAGGAGCCCGCGGUCAGGCACCUCUUAGAUUCUGUGACGUUUGUUCCCUGGAUGUCCCGAAUGCAGAAGAAGCUGGUGGGACUAAUACAGAGUCUGCUCCUGGGUUACUUCGUGAGGAAGGACAAGGAUCUGGUUGGAGCUCUGGAGGCCUUGUGGCAGAGUCUGGAGGGCCGUCCCAAAAUGUACUCCACUCUCACGUAUGAGGACAUCAUGCGAAGUUUGCAUGUGGUGGUCUUUGGGGAGUACAUCCAGGCCCUGGCCACCCACCUCAAGAAGUUGGCGCCCAAGAAGUGGGAGGACAUCUUGGUUCAGGUGAACACUGACACCACGAAGUUGCACAACAUCUUCACGAAGCACAGGGACGUUGGCUUGGCCAACCUACAGGAACCCAUCAUGGGGAUCUUCCAGCUCAGAGGGAACAAGGGCAGGGAGACUGUGGAUGACUGGCUGGCGUCCUUCAGGGACAGAUUCCCAGAUUAUUUAAGCACCCAGGCCCAGCCAUGCUGCUCUGUGCUCUUGGAGGAGACCGAGGACAAGGGAAGCUGCUGCUGCUGCUGUUGA